ACUGCCAUCAAUGCGAACAAAACUCUGACAUCGGUGGUAUAGUGACCGAACAGCCCGUAUCAGGGGGUUCGGUACUCCAUACCCACGAAGCACCCCCCACAGACCUCCCCGAGGGACACGGUCAAACGCCUUCUCCAAGUCCACAAAACACAUGUAGACUGGUUGGGCGAAUUCCGACAUACCCUCGAGGACCCUGCUAAGGGUGUAGAGCUGGUCCACUGGUCCACUGUUCCACGGCCGGGACGACAACCACACUGCUCCUCCUCAAUCUGAGGCUCGACUUCCUGACGGACCCUCCGCUCCAACACCCCUGAAUAGACCUUACCAGGGAGGCUGAGGAGUGUGAUCCGUCUGUAGUUGGAACACACCCUCCGGUCCCCCUUUUUAAAAAGAGGGACUACCACCCCGGUCUGCCAAUCCAGAGGCACUCUCCCUGUUGACCACGCAAUGUUGCAGAGGCGUGUCAACCAGGACAGCCCCACAACAUCCAGAGCCUUGAGGAACUCCGGACGGAUCUCAUCCACUCCUGGGGCCUUGCCACCGAGGAGCUUUUUAACCACAUCGGUGACUUCAACCACAGAGAUAGAAGAGCCCACCUCGGGGUGCCCAGACUCUGCUUCCUCCAAGGAAGACGUGUUGGUGGAGUUGAGGAGGUCUUCGAAGUACUCUGCCCACCGGUUCACAACGUCCCGAGUCGAAGUCAGCAGCGCCCCAUCCCCACUGUACACAGUGUUAGUGGUGCACUGCUUCCCCCUCCUGAGACGUCGGAUGGUGGACCAGAAUUUCCUCGAAGCCGUCCGGAAGUCGGCUUCCAUGGCCUCACC